CGUUUGACGGUAUCCGGGUUUGAGAACUCCACGUAAACAUAGUGACUGCUGUCCAAGGAGAUAGCCCUGGAACAACAUACAUUCCCAUCUGUGAUGGAAUUAUGAUCAAACGAGAGCCAGUGGAGGCUGACCCACUUGCAUCUCCACAGCAAGAGAUGAAGUACAUAUCUGUUAAAGAAGAAACACCG